rnacentral:rRNA from 1 species
UACGUAGGGGGCAAGCGUUGUCCGGAUUCAUUGGGCGUAAAGAGCGUGUAGGCGGCCUGAAAGGUCAGCUGUGAAAACUCGAGGCUCAACCUCGAGACGUCGGUUGAAACCAUCUGGCUAGAGUCCGGAAGAGGAGUGUGGAAUUCCCGGUGUAGCGGUGAAAUGCGCAGAUAUCGGGAAGAACACCCGUGGCGAAGGCGGCACUCUGGGACGGUACUGACGCUGAGGAACGAAAGCGUGGGGAGCGAACAGG